rnacentral:rRNA from 1 species
CCUACGGGUGGCUGCAGUGAGGAAUAUUGGUCAAUGGGCUUACGCCUGAUCCAGCCAAGUCGCGUGAGGGAAGACUGCCCUAUAGGUUGUAAACCUCUUUUGUCAGGGAGCAACACCGGCUACCUGCAUUCGGACGGAACGUACCUGAAGAACAAGCCUCGGCUAACUGCGGGCACGCAGCCGAGGUAAUACGGAGGAAGCGAGCGUUAUACGGAUUUCUUGGGUGUGAAGGGAGCGUAGAUGGGGUGUUAAGUCAGUUGUUCAAGUUACCGGCUGAACCGUCAAAUUGUAAUUGAUACUGUGAGGCUUGAGUGCAGUUGAGGUAAGCGGAAGUCGUGGUGUAGCGGUGAAAUGCGUAGAUAUCACGAAGAACCCCGAUGGCGAAGGCAGCUUACUAAACUGUGACUGACAUUGAUGCUCGAAAGUGUGGGUAGCAAACAGGAUUAGAUACCCCGGUAGUC